rnacentral:rRNA from 1 species
AUGAACGUUGGCGGUGUGCCUAAUACAUGCAAGUCGAACGAAGAUGAUAGCAAUAUUGUCUUAGUGGCGAACGGGUGAGUAACGCGUUGGUGACCUGCCCCGAAGUGUGGAAUAACAAUUCGAAAGAAUUGCUAAUACCGCAUGUGAUCUUGGAGAUUAGAACCUCUUUGAUUAAAGGAUUUAUUCGCUUCGUGAGGGGCCUGCGUCCCAUCAGCUAGUUGGUAGGGUAAUGGCCUACCAAGGCUUUGACGGGUAGGGGACCUGAGAGGGUGGCCCCCCACAAUGGAACUGAAACACGGUCCAUACACCUACGGGUGGCAGCAGUAGGGAAUAUUAGUAAUGGGCGAAAGCCUGAACUAGCAACACCGCGUGUGCGAUGAAGGCCUUCGGGUUGUAAAGCACUUUUUUUGGGGACGAUGAUGACGGUACCCAAGGAAUAAGCCACGGCUAACUCUGU